AGUAACGGCGAGUGAAGCGGUAACAGCUCAAAUUUGAAAUCUGGCCUCUCGGGGUCCGAGUUGUAAUUUGUAGAGGAUGUUUUGGGUACCGCCCCGGUCUAAAUUUCUUGGAACAGAAUGUCAAAGAGGGUGAGAAUCCCGUCUUGGACCGGCGGUAGGGCCUGUGUAAAACUCCUUCGACGAGUCGAGUUGUUUGGG
rnacentral:rRNA from 1 species